rnacentral:lncRNA from 1 species
CAAAAUCAGAGACGUUCAAACUUGAAGCAACCAUCCCCUCCACCGUUAGUCCGACGAUUCUUGCCAUUGUUUAUCUUUCUCCACUUCUGCAACAGCGAACAAGGGGACUCCUACCAUCAGAUAAGUGUUCUCCCCUCUUCUAAUCCUCUCUGCAGCAAGAAGAUGUACCAAACCUUUUUCUUUCCUCGAUGCAUGUUCAAAAAUACACCUAUCAUAAGCUUCACUCAACGACUUUGAAUCUUUAAUAUAGGCACUAAUAAUAGAUAUGUCUUCAUGGUCUGCAUGCAGUUUUUUAUGAUCGAAAGGGUAUCACCUUCAAUCACCACGCUCCUGAUCCCCAGAUCCAGGCCCAUUUGCGCCGACUGGAGACAUGCAAGUGCUUCAGCCGCAAAAGGAGAAGGUAUGUGAGAGUUAAUGAUCAUUCUCGAACACAAAACUAUCCCUUCUGAGUUUCUACUCACACGGUUAAGAAAUCUAGUAACUUAUAUUAGAAUCAUCUUAAAAAUUAAAAAUUAAAGUUGCACCAAUAAGAUAAAGUCAUUUCAUACAAUUUUUUUAAUUAAAUUUUUACAAAAAUUAAAUAGAAAUCCAUUUUUUUUCUUUUAACUCAAUUUAAAAGUAAACAAUAUACAAACUUAAUUAGAUAUUCGGUUAUCUGAUAGAAACACUUCUUUCUUCCAACCCUCUCAUGCUUUUACUCUCUUCAUUAGAACUUUUCCUAUGUGCAGCAACAUGACAAAGAAGAAUUAUGGAAGAAAUUCAACUUAAAGAAAUCGAAUUGCAAAAAAAAAAAAUGCACUGAAUCCCAAAAAAUUGAUGAUAUAGUUUUAAUUUAAUUUAUUAAAUUAUUAACCUAAAAAGAAAGUGUUCAUAUGCUAACAAAUCCGUAAAAAUUAUGUUUAUUUACUAAUAAUUGACCUAACUUUUUCAUAAGAAUCAAAUUUAAUAAAUUAAUAUAAGAUGGGUACUCAUCAAUUUCAAAAUACAUAAUUAGACGAUUUAAAGUCCUAACACUUUAGAUAUUCGAAGUUUACAAAAUACCACUACUUGAUCUUAUCCAACUUUCUGAUGUAACGUAGGGAAGUAACGAAAUUACCCACAUAAGAGUAGGAAUGUACACAACAAUUUUUUUCAGAGAAAAAUACACUUGCACCUGCACUGAAGACUGGAUUAUGAAAGCUACAUAUAUUGCAUCUAUGAUGACACUGCAUUAUCAUCGUCCGAUGUAUCCAUCAUCAAGGUCCGGAGAUGC